AGAGUUUGAUCCUGGCUCAGGAUGAACGCUAGCUACAGGCUUAACACAUGCAAGUCGAGGGGCAGCAUUUUAGUUUGCUUGCAAACUGAAGAUGGCGACCGGCGCACGGGUGAGUAACACGUAUCCAACCUGCCGAUAACUCCGGAAUAGCCUUUCGAAAGAAAGAUUAAUACCGGAUAGCAUACGAAUAUCGCAUGAUAUUUUAUAAAGAUUUCGGUAUCGAUGGGGAUGCGUUCCAUUAGUUUG
rnacentral:rRNA from 1 species